AGUGAACGCUGGCGGCAGGCCUAACACAUGCAAGUCGAGCGGCAGCGCGUCCGACCACCCUCGGGUGGUCGGAUGGCGGCGAGCGGCGGACGGGUGAGGAAUGCAUCGGAAUCUGCCUCGUUGUGGGGGAUAACGUAGCGAAAGUUACGCUAAUACCGCAUACGCUCGAGAGAGGAAAGUGGGGGAUCGCAAGACCUCACGUUAUAGGAGCGGCCGAUGUCCGAUUAGCUAGUUGGUGGGGUAAAGGCCUACCAAGGCGACGAUCGGUAGCUGGUCUGAGAGGACGACCAGCCACACUGGGACUGAGACACGGCCCAGACUCCUACGGGAGGCAGCAGUGGGGAAUUUUGGACAAUGGGCGCAAGCCUGAUCCAGCCAUGCCGCGUGC
rnacentral:rRNA from 1 species